rnacentral:rRNA from 1 species
UACGUAGGGUGCGAGCGUUGUCCGGAAUUAUUGGGCGUAAAGCGUGCGCAGGCGGUUUUGUAAGCCAGAUGUGAAAGCCCCGGGCUUAACCUGGGAAUGGCAUUUGGGACUGCAAGGCUUGAGUGCGGCAGAGGAGACUGGAAUUCCUGGUGUAGCAGUGAAAUGCGUAGAUAUCAGGAGGAAUACCGAUGGCGAAGGCAGGUCUCUGGGCUGACACUGACGCUCAUGCACGAAAGCGUGGGGAGCAAACAGG